AACGAACGCUGGCGGCGUGCUUAACACAUGCAAGUCGAACGCGAAAGGGACUUCGGUCCUGAGUAAAGUGGCGCACGGGUGAGUAACGCGUAGAUAACCUGUCUUCAUGUCUGGAAUAAUACGCCGAAAGGGGUACUAAUACCGGAUAUUCUUGCUUUUCAUAAGUUAUGCAAGCAAAGGUGGCCUCUGCAUAUGCUACUGCAUGAAGAGGGGUCUGCGUACCAUUAGCUAGUAGGUGGGGUAAUGGCCUACCUAGGCGACGAUGGUUAGCGGGUCUGAGAGGAUGAUCCGCCACACUGGCACUGGAACACGGGCCAGACUCCUACGGGAGGCAGCAGUGAGGAAUAUUGCGCAAUGGGGGAAACCCUGACGCAGCGACGCCGCGUGAGUGAGGAAAGGCCUUCGGGUCGUAAAGCUCUGUCAAGAGGAAAGAAGUGUACAAUGGCUAAUACCUGUUGUAUUUGACGGUACCUCCAAAGGAAGCACCGGCUAACUCCGUGCCAGCAGCAGC
rnacentral:rRNA from 1 species